rnacentral:misc_RNA from 1 species
GACAGAGGGUGCGAACGUUGCUCGGAAUCACUGGGCGUAAAGCGCGUGUAGGCGGAUAAGCAAGUCGGGUGUGAAAUCCCCGGGCUCAACCUGGGAACUGCAUCCGAAACUGCAUAUCUUGAGUGUCGGAGAGGGAAGUGGAAUUGCUGGUGUAGGGGUGAAAUCCGUAGAUAUCAGCAGGAACAUCAGUGGCGAAGGCGGCUUCCUGGACGAUAACUGACGCUGAGACGCGAAAGCGUGGGGAGCAAACAGG